rnacentral:rRNA from 1 species
CCUGCAAAACGAAUCUAAGUUCCCCCUUAACCCUCUUUUUCCUCCCCAGACAAACCCAACCCAAAUGUGAUAGUUAAGGGCUAUUUAAAGGGGGUACAGCCCCUUUAAAAAAGGACACAACCUCCACCAGCGGAUAACCCCUGUACGCCCAACCCCGUGGGCCUUAAAGCAGCCACCCCCAAAGAUUGCGUCAAAGCUCCAUCAACCAAAAACCCCCAAAACCAAUGCGACUCCCUACACCCACAGCAGGCCAACCUAUAACAAUAGAUGAGUCAAUGCUAGAACGAGUAACCAGGACACUACGUCCCCCUAAGCGCCAGCCUGUAUACCAUUAACAGUAAAACCUCAAUAAUAACCACCCCCACCAUUGAACCCACCCUGUCAA